GGAUCGGAGUCUGCAACCCGACUCCGUGAAGCUGGAUUCGCUAGUAAUCGCGCAUCAGCCAUGGCGCGGUGAAUACGUUCCCGGGCCUUGUACACACCGCCCGUCAAGCCAUGGGAGCCGGGGGUGCUUGAAGUGCGUCGCCGCGAGGCGCGCCCUAGAGCAAAACCGGUGACUGGGGCUAAGUCGUAACAAGGUAGC
rnacentral:rRNA from 1 species